rnacentral:rRNA from 1 species
GACGAACGCUGGCGGCGUGCUUAACACAUGCAAGUCGAACGGAAAGGCCCUGCUUUUGUGGGGUGCUCGAGUGGCGAACGGGUGAGUAACACGUGAGUAACCUGCCCUUUACUUUGGGAUAACUUCAGGAAACUGGGGCUAAUACCGGAUAGGAGCUCCUGCUGCAUGGGGGGGGUUGGAAAGUUUCGGCUGUUGGGGAUGGACUCGCGGCUUAUCAGCUUGUUGGUGGGGUAGUGGCUUACCAAGGCUUUGACGGGUAGCCGGCAUGAGAGGGUGACCGGCCACCAUGGGACUGAGAUACGGCGCAGACUCCUACGGGAGGCAGCAGUGGGGAAUAUUGCACAAUGGGCGGAAGCCUGAUGCAGCAACGCCGCGUGCGGGAUGACGGCCUUCGGGUUGUAAACCGCUUUCGCCUGUGACGAAGCGUGAGUGACGGUAAUGGGUAAAGAAGCACCGGCUAACUACGUG